UACGAAGGGUGCAAACGUUGCUCGGAAUUAUUGGGCGUAAAGAGCUCGUAGGCGGUUUGUCGCGUCUGCUGUGAAAACCUAAGGCUCAACCUUGGGCUUGCAGUGGGUACGGGCAGACUAGAGUGCGGUAGGGGUGACUGGAAUUCCUGGUGUAGCGGUGAAAUGCGCAGAUAUCAGGAGGAACACCGGUGGCGAAGGCGGGUCUCUGGGCCGUAACUGACGCUGAGGAGCGAAAGCGUGGGGAGCGAACAGG
rnacentral:rRNA from 1 species